rnacentral:misc_RNA from 1 species
UAAAAGGAUCAGCAUGUCGGUUGACAGCAGCAUAGUUCUGCAGUUCCGACUUCAAGUGCUCAAUCUUUCUCCCAGCCAAUGAAUUGCUAAAGAUUCGUUGAAGCUUUUCAACGUUGAUUUACAGUUUGUUGUCCUGUGGAUCCAGAAAGAAACAUCUUGUGAACCGUUCCGUCUCUGGCGAGAGGGUAGUGAAGAACUACUUGUCAGCAUUGCUUUUUGCGGUGCCGUGGACAGCUCGCCAACCCCUUCUAAACAUAUAUUUAUUUUUUUAUGCCUGACAUUUAUUGUAUAAAUAUACAAAA